rnacentral:rRNA from 1 species
UACGAAGGGGGCUAGCGUUGCUCGGAAUACUGGGCGUAAAGCGUGCGCAGGCGGUUUUGUAAGUCUGACGUGAAAUCCCCGGGCUCAACCUGGGAAUUGCGUUGGAGACUGCAAGGCUGGAGUCUGGCAGAGGGGGGGUAGAAUUCCACGUGUAGCAGUGAAAUGCGUAGAGAUGUGGAGGAACACCGAUGGCGAAGGCAGCCCCCUGGGUCAAGACUGACGCUCAUGCACGAAAGCGUGGGGAGCAAACAGG